rnacentral:rRNA from 1 species
AUUGAACGCUGGCGGCAUGCCUUACACAUGCAAGUCGAACGGUAACAGGUCUUCGGAUGCUGACGAGUGGCGAACGGGUGAGUAAUACAUCGGAACGUGCCUAGUAGUGGGGGAUAACUACUCGAAAGAGUGGCUAAUACCGCAUGAGAUCUACGGAUGAAAGCAGGGGAUCGCAAGACCUUGUGCUACUAGAGCGGCCGAUGGCAGAUUAGGUAGUUGGUGGGAUAAAAGCUUACCAAGCCGACGAUCUGUAGCUGGUCUGAGAGGACGAUCAGCCACACUGGGACUGAGACACGGCCCAGACUCCUACGGGAGGCAGCAGUGGGGAAUUUUGGACAAUGGGCGCAAGCCUGAUCCAGCAAUGCCGCGUGCAGGAUGAAGGCCUUCGGGUUGUAAACUGCUUUUGUACGGAACGAAACGGCGAGCUCUAAUACAGUUUGCUAAUGACGGUACCGUAAGAAUAAGCACCGGCUAACUACGUGCCAGCAGCCGCCGUAACAC